AGUUUGGUAAGGGUCAAAUCUUCAAGAUCUAGAAAUUAUUUUAGCCAAUGUGUAAACAACAGCAUAGUUAGAGGGGACUCGGUGCAAUUUUGACGCGAGCGGCCUAUUUCGGUCCAGCAUAUUUCAGGCAUUUUUUGGGAUCAUGUAAAUAGAAAAGAGCUCUUAAUUUGGCCAUAGUUCUACAUAUAUCAUUAUUAGACAGAGAGUUAUGGUUAAGAUCAUGUGAUUCUAUUAUUCGAUUUGAUUUUUUUUUGGGCUCAUGUAAAUAGAAAAGAGCUCUUAAUUUGGCCAUAGUUCUACAUAUAUCAUUAUUAGACAGAGAGUUAUGGUUAAGAUCAUGUGAUUCUAUUAUUCAAUUUGAUCUUUUUAACGGUGUAAUUGAUAAAUUCAACUAAUAAAGAUUUACGCCAUUUGGAAUGAGUAUGGAGGUAAUAGAUAGAGAUUCGAGUCAAUUGAUAUGAUUUCGAAGGUAAGGACUAAAGAUUUGGGGUGAUUUAGAGUUGCUCGAAGUGAUCAAGCGGAGAAAUUUGAUAUGAAGUGGUUUAUGAGGGAGUCGUCAAAAAAAUCUUACAUCCGCGAGUGUACAAUUCACUAUAGGGUUGUGAGAAUUUCUUAUAGCCACUAUUAUUUUGAGUUGGUGCAUUUUUUCCGAUCGAUCACUUGAUUUUUUUAUUACUUUUGAGAUUUUUCAUAUAUAUGUGGGGGUUCAUCAAUUAUUGUUUUUAUUGUUUUGAUUAUCGUGGAUUAGAUAACUUGUUGACGAUGGAACUCUUCGGAGUUUAGUUGUUAAUCACUUGGUUACAAA
rnacentral:lncRNA from 1 species